rnacentral:rRNA from 1 species
GGUUAAGCGACUAAGCGUACACGGUGGAUGCCCUGGCAGUCAGAGGCGAUGAAGGACGUGCUAAUCUGCGAAAAGCGUCGGUAAGGUGAUAUGAACCGUUACAGCCGGCGAUGUCCGAAUGGGGAAACCCAGUGCAAUUCGUUGCACUAUCGUUAACUGAAUACAUAGGUUAACGAGGCGAACCGGGGGAACUGAAACAUCUAAGUACCCCGAGGAAAAGAAAUCAACCGAGAUUCCCCCAGUAGCGGCGAGCGAACGGGGAGCAGCCCAGAGUCUGAAUCAGCUUGUGUGUUAGUGGAACGGUCUGGAAAGUCCGACGGUACAGGGUGAUAGUCCCGUACACCAAAAUGCACAGGUUGUGAACUCGAAGAGUAGGGCGGGACACGUGGUAUCCUGUCUGAAUAUGGGGGGACCAUCCUCCAAGGCUAAAUACUCCUGACUGACCGAUAGUGAACCAGUACCGUGAGGGAAAGGCGAAAAGAACCCCGGCGAGGGGAGUGAAAAAGAACCUGAAACCGUGUACGUACAAGCAGUGGGAGCACCUUCGGGUGUGACUGCGUACCUUUUGUAUAAUGGGUCAGCGACUUAUAUUCUGUAGCAAGGUUAACCGUAUAGGGGAGCCGCAGGGAAACCGAGUCUUAACUGGGCGUUAAGUUGCAGGGUAUAGACCCGAAACCCGGUGAUCUAGCCAUGGGCAGGUUGAAGGUUGGGUAACACUAACUGGAGGACCGAACCGACUAAUGUUGAAAAAUUAGCGGAUGACUUGUGGCUGGGGGUGAAAGGCCAAUCAAACCGGGAGAUAGCUGGUUCUCCCCGAAAGCUAUUUAGGUAGCGCCUCGUGAACUCAUCUUCGGGGGUAGAGCACUGUUUCGGCUAGGGGGUCAUCCCGACUUACCAACCCGAUGCAAACUACGAAUACCGAAGAAUGUUAUCACGGGAGACACACGGCGGGUGCUAACGUCCGUCGUGAAGAGGGAAACAACCCAGACCGCCAGCUAAGGUCCCAAAGUCAUGGUUAAGUGGGAAACGAUGUGGGAAGGCACAGACAGCCAGGAUGUUGGCUUAGAAGCAGCCAUCAUUUAAAGAAAGCGUAAUAGCUCACUGGUCGAGUCGGCCUGCGCGGAAGAUGUAACGGGGCUAAACCAUGCACCGAAGCUGCGGCAGCGACACUAUGUGUUGUUGGGUAGGGGAGCGUUCUGUAAGCCUGCGAAGGUGUGCUGUGAGGCAUGCUGGAGGUAUCAGAAGUGCGAAUGCUGACAUAAGUAACGAUAAAGCGGGUGAAAAGCCCGCUCGCCGGAAGACCAAGGGUUCCUGUCCAACGUUAAUCGGGGCAGGGUGAGUCGACCCCUAAGGCGAGGCCGAAAGGCGUAGUCGAUGGGAAACAGGUUAAUAUUCCUGUACUUGGUGUUACUGCGAAGGGGGGACGGAGAAGGCUAUGUUAGCCGGGCGACGGUUGUCCCGGUUUAAGCAUGUAGGCUGAUUGUCCAGGCAAAUCCGGAUAAUCAAGGCUGAGGUGUGAUGACGAGGCACUACGGUGCUGAAGUAACAAAUGCCCUGCUUCCAGGAAAAGCCUCUAAGCAUCAGGUAACAUUAAAUCGUACCCCAAACCGACACAGGUGGUCAGGUAGAGAAUACCAAGGCGCUUGAGAGAACUCGGGUGAAGGAACUAGGCAAAAUGGUGCCGUAACUUCGGGAGAAGGCACGCUGGUGUGUAGGUGAAGUCCCUGCGGAUGGAGCUGAGACCAGUCGAAGAUACCAGCUGGCUGCAACUGUUUAUUAAAAACACAGCACUGUGCAAACACGAAAGUGGACGUAUACGGUGUGACGCCUGCCCGGUGCCGGAAGGUUAAUUGAUGGGGUUAUCCGUAAGGAGAAGCUCUUGAUCGAAGCCCCGGUAAACGGCGGCCGUAACUAUAACGGUCCUAAGGUAGCGAAAUUCCUUGUCGGGUAAGUUCCGACCUGCACGAAUGGCGUAAUGAUGGCCAGGCUGUCUCCACCCGAGACUCAGUGAAAUUGAACUCGCUGUGAAGAUGCAGUGUACCCGCGGCAAGACGGAAAGACCCCGUGAACCUUUACUAUAGCUUGACACUGAACAUUGAGCCUUGAUGUGUAGGAUAGGUGGGAGGCUUUGAAGCGUGGACGCCAGUCUGCGUGGAGCCAACCUUGAAAUACCACCCUUUAAUGUUUGAUGUUCUAACGUUGGCCCCUGACCGGGGUUGCGGACAGUGUCUGGUGGGUAGUUUGACUGGGGCGGUCUCCUCCCAAAGCGUAACGGAGGAGCACGAAGGUUAGCUAAUCCUGGUCGGACAUCAGGAGGUUAGUGCAAUGGCAUAAGCUAGCUUGACUGCGAGCGUGACGGCGCGAGCAGGUGCGAAAGCAGGUCAUAGUGAUCCGGUGGUUCUGAAUGGAAGGGCCAUCGCUCAACGGAUAAAAGGUACUCCGGGGAUAACAGGCUGAUACCGCCCAAGAGUUCAUAUCGACGGCGGUGUUUGGCACCUCGAUGUCGGCUCAUCACAUCCUGGGGCUGAAGUAGGUCCCAAGGGUAUGGCUGUUCGCCAUUUAAAGUGGUACGCGAGCUGGGUUUAGAACGUCGUGAGACAGUUCGGUCCCUAUCUGCCGUGGGCGCUGGAGAAUUGAGGGGGGCUGCUCCUAGUACGAGAGGACCGGAGUGGACGCAUCACUGGUGUUCGGGUUGUCAUGCCAAUGGCACUGCCCGGUAGCUAAAUGCGGAAGAGAUAAGUGCUGAAAGCAUCUAAGCACGAAACUUGCCCCGAGAUGAGUUCUCCCUGAGACU